AAGACAGGAGAUGUAAGUCUGACUAAAGUUCCUAGAGAAAGAGAGUUUUAGACUAAAAUGGAAGUCCAGGGACAUACCAGAAGCAUUGCCACUGGCUGAUGUUUGAGAGAGGGAGACACAGCGAGGGAGCCUGGGUGGGAACAGCAACCGGGAAAGGAGAGAGUUCUCUUCUACCACAAAGGCUUCUGAAUAUUCUCUGAGGUGCUUGUCUGUCAUCACUGGAAAGAAGAGAAAGAAUGAUGACUAUGCUGAGAGGAGAGGAAUAACAUCACCUAAAUAAUUCACCUUUAUGUCACGUAACCACACCAGCGCUAAAGAAAACACGGAGAACAAAGGGCUGGGUGACACUUCCACACGCUGGUCUGUUUGGUGAUUUUAUUAUUCAUACUCAAGGGGAGGCCAAACGGAUAAAUGAUCCAAAGGACAAGCAACAAAAACAACGAUUACUACAUCUGGAAUAUUUUUACCUAAAUAUGAAUUUAAUUUCUUAAUAGAAAUUUGUCAGAAUAAUGAUAACCAAAACAGCAAACAAUACAAAGCUGUGAAUAGCUUCACUUUGAAAAAACAUAAGGAAGUGAUGUAGUGUCUUGACUUUAACCACCUCUGAAAUACAAAGUUCUCCCUUUGGCCCCUGUCAGCUACUUCUGUACACUGUGCUACGCUGUCCUCUCUCCCUCUCUUAAACUGACACCUAUUUAUCUCAUUCCUUCUAUAGAGCUUCUGGGGAGACUGAGAUGAAAGGGAGAGGAAGAGACAGAAAGGUGAAACAUAAAAACUCAAAAGAAUAUUUGGGUAGAAAAUUACUCCAAUGCACACAAAGAACACAGAGCUCCAAGAGUCUGUUAAGCCAAUACUUACCUAAGUAGAUUUAGCUAGAAUAAAAUUGAAGACAAGAUUUACCACAAAAUGUAGAUAACCAUCCCAGAUAGAAGGGAGUUCAUUGUUCUAGAAAGCUUGGACCUAGCCUGUGAAUGUGUGAGCAGAAAGAAAUAAAAA